GAUGAACGCUGGCGGUCUGCUUAACACAUGCAAGUCGAACGAACUCUUCGGAGUGAGUGGCGGACGGGUGAGUAACGCGUGAGAAUCUGCCUGUGGGUCGGGGACAACCACUGGAAACGGUGGCUAAUACCGGAUGAGCCGAAAGGUAAAAAAUUUAUUGCCCACAGAUGAGCUCGCGUCUGAUUAGCUAGUUGGUAAGGUAAAAGCGUACCAGGGCGACGAUCAGUAGCUGGUCUGAGAGGAUGAGCAGCCACACUGGGACUGAGACACGGCCCAGACUCCUACGGGAGGCAGCAGUGGGGAAUUUUCCGCAAUGGGCGAAAGCCUGACGGAGCAAGACCGCGUGGGGGAGGAAGGUUUUUGGAUCGUAAACCCCUUUUGUCAAGGAAGAAGUUCUGACGGUACUUGACGAAUAAGCCUUGGCUAACUCCGUGCCAGCAGCCGCGGUAAUACGGAGGAGGCAAGCGUUAUCCGGAAUGAUUGGGCGUAAAGCGUCUGUAGGUGGCCAGCUAAGUCUGCUGUUAAAGAUCACAGCUCA
rnacentral:rRNA from 1 species